rnacentral:rRNA from 1 species
AUCUAAGCAUGAAGCCCCCCUCGAGAUGAGAUUUCCCAACUUCGGUUAUAAGAUCCCUCAAAGAUGAUGAGGUGAAUAGGUUCGAGGUGGAAGCGUAGUGAUACGUGGAGCUGACGAAUACUAAUCGAUCGAAGACUUAAUCAAU